GUUCGGUCCCUAUCUGCCGUGGGUGUAGGAUACUUGAGAGGAGUUGCCCCUAGUACGAGAGGACCGGGGUGAACGAUCCACUGGUGGACCAGUUGUUAUGCCAAUAGCAGUGCUGGGUAGCUAUGAUCGGAAAGGAUAACCGCUGAAGGCAUCUAAGCGGGAAGCCCCCCUCAAAACAAGGUAUCCCUGAGAACCGAGAUAGACCAUCUCGUCGAUAGGCCGGAGAUGUAAGCGCAGCAAUGCGUUCAGUUGACCGGUACUAAUUGUCCGAUAGGCUUGAU
rnacentral:rRNA from 1 species